AGACUUCAACAGGUCAUACGUGUGUGUGUUUUAGACUUCAACAGGUCAUACGUGUGUGUGUUUUAGACUUCAACAGGUCAUACGUGUGUGUGUUUUAGACUUCAACAGGUCAUACGUGUGUGUGUUUUAGACUUCAACAGGUCAUACGUGUGUGUGUUUUAGACUUCAACAGGUCAUACGUGUGUGUGUUUUAGACUUCAACAGGUCAUACGUGUGUGUGUUUUAGACUUGAACAGGUCAUAC